UAAAUCCGUGUGCUGAAUCGAAGCGUGUCGCCGCUUCGGUUGCAUACAUGUAUGUAGAGGUGACACAGCGAGCGGCGUGUAACAUAAAAUCAUGUGCCCAAGGAUAAUUAUCUUUCGUUUUCUCGACGUCGUGAUAGAAAAGUGACAGCGCGCGAUAGAAGAUUAUUUUAUAAGACAGCUCACAUUAAAACCGUAAUAUGUUCCUGUGAUUGAAAAAAAAAAACAGAAAGAAAGAAAGCGAUAGAAACUGGAAGGGUUUGCAGAGAAUUUAACUCUAGUGUAAUUUUUUCUCUAGCGUAAUUUUUUCUCUAUCGUAUACUUUGUAUCGAAUCCGCAAGAAAUGAAAUCGUUUUCCAUCGUGCUCUGUUAGACUUAAAACCAAAAAUGUUUUUGUAAAAUGCACGAAAAUGGAGUUCAAAAAAAAUGGAUGCCGAAAGCGACAUGCCUAUUGGAAGUUAUAUAACAUCCCAGACAGCACAAGAACUUCUGAGAACGAUCCAGGGAUAUUCUGAGGAUAUUGGGACGUUCUCAGAACGUAUUUAGGACGUUCCCUGGAUAUCUGUACUGUUAGAGAUGUUGCAUAUAUGAUAAUAUUUGAUAAUAAAUAGUUCGUUAAUAUGUUUAA